rnacentral:rRNA from 1 species
UGGGGAAUUUUGGACAAUGGGGGAAACCCUGAUCCAGCCAUCCCGCGUGUGCGAUGAAGGCCUUCGGGUUGUAAAGCACUUUUGGCAGGAAAGAAACGUCAUGGGUUAAUACCCCGUGAAACUGACGGUACCUGCAGAAUAAGCACCGGCUAACUACGUGCCAGCAGCCGCGGUAAUACGUAGGGUGCAAGCGUUAAUCGGAAUUACUGGGCGUAAAGCGUGCGCAGGCGGUUCGGAAAGAAAGAUGUGAAAUCCCAGAGCUCAACUUUGGAACUGCAUUUUUAACUACCGGGCUCGAGUGUGUCAGAGGGAGGUGGAAUUCCGCGUGUAGCAGUGAAAUGCGUAGAUAUGCGGAGGAACACCAAUGGCGAAGGCAGCCUCCUGGGAUAAAACUGACGCUCAUGCACGAAAGCGUGGGGAGCGAACAGG